rnacentral:rRNA from 1 species
AGAGUUUGAUCAUGGCUCAGAACGUACGCUGGCGGCACGCCUAACACAUGCAAGUCGAACGAAGUAGCAAUACUUAGUGGCAGACGGGUGAGUAACAUGUAGGUAUCUGCCCUUUGGCCUGGAAUAACACGAGGAAACUUGUGCUAAUACCGGAUAAGUCUUUACGGAGAAAGCUUUAUGCACCAUUGGAUGAGCCUGCACUUGAUUAGUUUGUUGGUGGGGUAAUGGCCUACCAAGACUGUGAUCAAUAGCUGAUUUGAGAGGAUGAUCAGCCACAUUGGGACUGAGACACGGCCCAAACUCCUACGGGAGGCAGCAGUGGGGAAUCUUGCACAAUGGAGGAAACUCUGAUGCAGCGAUGCCGCGUGAGUGAAGAAGGCC